AACGAACGCUGGCGGCAUGCCUAACACAUGCAAGUCGAACGAGACCUUCGGGUCUAGUGGCGCACGGGUGCGUAACGCGUGGGAACCUGCCCUUAGGUUCGUAAUAACUCCCCGAAAGGGGUGCUAAUACCGGAUAAUGUCUUCGGACCAAAGAUUUAUCGCCUUUGGAUGGGCCCGCGUUGGAUUAGCUAGUUAGUAGGGUAAAAGCCUACCAAGGCGACGAUCCAUAGCUGGUCUGAGAGGAUGAUCAGCCACACUGGGACUGAGACACGGCCCAGACUCCUACGGGAGGCAGCAGUGGGGAAUAUUGGACAAUGGGCGAAAGCCUGAUCCAGCAAUGCCGCGUGAGUGAUGAAGGCCUUAGGGUUGUAAAGCUCUUUUACCCGGGAUGAUAAUGACAGUACCGGGAGAAUAAGCUCCGGCUAACUCCGUG
rnacentral:rRNA from 1 species